rnacentral:rRNA from 1 species
AUCCCUACGGGACGCAGCAGUGAGGAAUAUUGGUCAAUGGGCGGGAGCCUGAACCAGCCAAGUCGCGUGAGGGAAGACGGUCCUACGGAUUGUAAACCUCUGUCAGUGGGGACGAUAAUGACGGUACCCACGGAGGAAGCCACGGCUAACUACGUGCCAGCAGCCGCGGUAAUACGUAGGUGGCAAGCGUUGUCCGGAAUUACUGGGUGUAAAGGGAGCGUAGGCGGGAUGUCAAGUCAGAAGUGAAAAUUAUGGGCUCAACUCAUAACCUGCUUUUGAAACUGAUAUUCUUGAGUGAAGUAGAG